rnacentral:tRNA from 1 species
UUCUGUGGUUUAAUUGGUUAAGGCGCCGGUCUAGCGAAUACGGAGUCGUGGGUUCGAAUCCCACCAGAA